rnacentral:rRNA from 1 species
AGAGUUUGAUCAUGGCUCAGAUUGAACGCUGGCGGCAGGCUUAACACAUGCAAGUCGAACGGUAACAUAAAGAAGCUUGCUUCUUUGAUGACGAGUGGCGGACGGGUGAGUAAUGUCUGGGAAACUGCCCGAUGGAGGGGGAUAACUACUGGAAACGGUAGCUAAUACCGCAUAACGUCGCAAGACCAAAGAGGGGGACCUUCGGGCCUCUUGCCAUCGGAUGUGCCCAGAUGGGAUUAGCUAGUAGGUGGGGUAACGGCUCACCUAGGCGACGAUCCCUAGCUGGUCUGAGAGGAUGACCAGCCACACUGGAACUGAGACACGGUCCAGACUCCUACGGGAGGCAGCAGUGGGGAAUCUUCCGCAAUGGGCGAAAGCCUGACGGAGCAACGCCGCGUGAACGAUGAAGGUCUUAGGAUCGUAAAGUUCUGUUGUUAGGGACGAAGGGUAAGAAUCAUAAUAAGGUUUUUAUUUGACGGUACCUAACGAGGAAGCCACGGCUAACUACGUGCCAGCAGCCGCGGUAAUACGUAGGCGGCAAGCGUUGUCCGGAAUUAUUGGGCGUAAAGGGAGCGCAGGCGGGAAACUAAGCGGAUCUUAAAAGUGCGGGGCUCAACCCCGUGAUGGGGUCCGAACUGGUUUUCUUGAGUGCAGGAGAGGAAAGCGGAAUUCCCAGUGUAGCGGUGAAAUGCGUAGAUAUUGGGAAGAACACCAGUGGCGAAGGCGGCUUUCUGGACUGUAACUGACGCUGAGGCUCGAAAGCUAGGGUAGCGAACGGGAUUAGAUACCCCGGUAGUCCUAGCCGUAAACGAUGGAUACUAGGUGUGGGAGGUAUCGACCCCUUCCGUGCCGGAGUUAACGCAAUAAGUAUCCCGCCUGGGGAGUACGGCCGCAAGGUUGAAACUCAAAGGAAUUGACGGGGGCCCGCACAAGCGGUGGAGUAUGUGGUUUAA